rnacentral:tRNA from 1 species
GCCUCGGUGGCUUAGGGGCUAUAGCGGCUGACUUGUAAUCAGCAGGUCGCGAGUUCGAAUCUCGCCCGGGGCUCCA